rnacentral:rRNA from 1 species
GACGAACGCUGGCGGCGUGCUUAACACAUGCAAGUCGAACGGUAAGGCUCCAGCUUGCUGGGGUACACGAGUGGCGAACGGGUGAGUAACACGUGGGUGACCUGCCCUGCACUUCGGGAUAAGCCUGGGAAACUGGGUCUAAUACCGGAUAGGACCGCACCGUGAGGGUGUGGUGGAAAGUUUUUUCGGUGUGGGAUGGGCCCGCGGCCUAUCAGCUUGUUGGUGGGGUAAUGGCCUACCAAGGCGGCGACGGGUAGCCGGCCUGAGAGGGUGGACGGCCACAUUGGGACUGAGACACGGCCCAGACUCCUACGGGAGGCAGCAGUGGGGAAUAUUGCGCAAUGGGCGGAAGCCUGAUGCAGCGACGCCGCGUGGGGGAUGACGGCCUUCGGGUUGUAAACUCCUUUCACCAUCGACGAAGGGUUUCUGACGGUAGAUGGAGAAGAAGCACCGGCUAACUACGUGCCAGCAGCCGCGGUAAUACGUAGGGUGCGAGCGUUGUCCGGAAUUACUGGGCGUAAAGAGCUCGUAGGUGGUUUGUCGCGUCGUCUGUGAAAUUCCGGGGCUUAACUCCGGGCGUGCAGGCGAUACGGGCAUAACUUGAGUACUGUAGGGGAGACUGGAAUUCCUGGUGUAGCGGUGAAAUGCGCAGAUAUCAGGAGGAACACCGGUGGCGAAGGCGGGUCUCUGGGCAGUAACUGACGCUGAGGAGCGAAAGCAUGGGGAGCGAACAGGAUUAGAUACCCUGGUAGUCCAUGCCGUAAACGGUGGGCGCUAGGUGUGGGUUUCCUUCCACGGGAUCCGUGCCGUAGCUAACGCAUUAAGCGCCCCGCCUGGGGAGUACGGCCGCAAGGCUAAAACUCAAAGGAAUUGACGGGGGCCCGCACAAGCGGCGGAGCAUGUGGAUUAAUUCGAUGCAACGCGAAGAACCUUACCUGGGCUUGACAUAUACAGGAUCGCGCCAGAGAUGGUGUUUCCCUUGUGGCUUGUAUACAGGUGGUGCAUGGUUGUCGUCAGCUCGUGUCGUGAGAUGUUGGGUUAAGUCCCGCAACGAGCGCAACCCUUGUCUUAUGUUGCCAGCACGUUGUGGUGGGGACUCGUAAGAAACUGCCGGGGUUAACUCGGAGGAAGGUGGGGAUGACGUCAAAUCAUCAUGCCCCUUAUGUCCAGGGCUUCACACAUGCUACAAUGGUCGGUACAGUGGGUUGCCAGUCCGUGAGGGCGAGCUAAUCCCGCAAAGCCGGUCUCAGUUCGGAUCGGGGUCUGCAACUCGACCCCGUGAAGUCGGAGUCGCUAGUAAUCGCAGAUCAGCAACGCUGCGGUGAAUACGUUCCCGGGCCU